ACCCUAAUACAGAAAAAAGAUGACAUCAUUCAAAACUUGGAACUGCAACUUGAAGAGCAGAAACACAUAAGGAUUCAAGAAGCUAAAGUAAUAGAAGAGAAAGCAGCUAAGAUCAAAGAAUGGGUAACAGUUAAGUUGAAUGAGCUGGAAUUGGAGAAUCAGAAUCUGCGUUUGAUCAACCAAAACCAAACUGAAGAAAUAAGAACAAUACAGUCAAAACUGCAAGGUACGAGCACUUUGACUAAGACAACCUAAUUGGAUUCACUUGCCUGUUACUACUGAGCACUUGGAGUAUGACUACCACAACUAAGGAACUGAAUUUUACAUUUUAUGUAAUUUGAAUUGACUUAAAUUUAAAUAGCCAUACAUCCAUAUCAGCAUAGCUAGACAGCAGUGAAUAACUCAAAGGAAGUAAUACUAAUUUGCACAUUUAAUCGGAAGUAUGUUUACUUUUAAAAAAUCAAUCUUGCUGUUUUCCAUUUUCACUCUGUAGCAUUGUGAUC